GCUGGUGUGGUAUAGUGGCUAGAACAUUGGAUUAUGACUCUGGAGAUUAGGGUUCAAUUUCCCCUUGAGCA